rnacentral:rRNA from 1 species
UACGUACGAGGCGAGCGUUAUCCGGAAUUACUGGGCGUAAAGCGCGCGCAGGCGGCUUGCUAAGUAGGGCGUGAAAUCUCCCGGCCUAACUGGGAGGGGUCGCUCUAAACUGGCAGGCUUGAGGAUGGCAGAGGUCGGUGGAAUUCCUGGUGUAGUGGUGAAAUGCGUAGAGAUGAGGAGGAACACCGGUGGCGAAGGCGGCCGACUGGGCCAUCACUGACGCUGAGGCGCGAAAGCUCGGGGAGCGAACGGG